UAGGGGGCAAGCGUUGUCCGGAUUUAUUGGGCGUAAAGCGCGUGUAGGCGGCCUGAAAGUUCAGCUGUGAAAACUCGAGGCUCAACCUCGAGACGUCGGUUGAAACCAUCUGGCUAGAGUCCGGAAGAGGAGUGUGGAAUUCCCGGUGUAGCGGUGAAAUGCGCAGAUAUCGGGAAGAACACCCGUGGCGAAGGCGGCUUCCUGGUCUGCGACUGACGCUGUGGCGCGAAAGCUAGGGGAGCAAACGGG
rnacentral:rRNA from 1 species